UCCCUGAUAGUUCAGCUGGUAUAGAAUCUGCCUGCAAUGCAGGAGACCCUGGUUUGAUUCCUGGGUUGGGAA
rnacentral:tRNA from 1 species